rnacentral:tRNA from 1 species
GUGGUUGUGGCUCAGCGGUAGAGCACUCACCUAGCACGAGCAAGGCCCUGGGUUUGAUCCUCAGCACCAUG